AAAGCAAGCAACAAAGCAUGGCUUAUGAUGGGCACUUGUCAGGGGAGAGAGAAGCCAGAGCAGAGCUCCCAGUUCACAUUCAGUGAAAAAUAAUGACAAAUGAUACAAGGACAGAAGACCUGUGAUUUGUUUAGACUCUUCUGGUUGCAGGAGUAGCACAUAAGAAGCACACAUGAGUAUUUGGCAUGAUAUUAUUUGGAGUGAGGUCUCGAUGUACAAUCCUCUUCUCUUUGUGCAAAUAUCGAAGAGCUAAACACAGCUUAAUGACAAAGAAAAAAGCUAACGAGAUGUCCUUUGCCAUUAAAGAAACAUGUUCUAACGAUGUGCUGCCCAAACUGGAGGAUAUUUGGAGAAGGGGGAGGACACUGAGGACUAGUGCCUCAUGUGAAGACAUACAAUGAGGGCAGGCCUGAGGUGAGAACUGAAAUGGAAACUUCCUUCUUCAUACCUUUAGCCACUCUGUUACAUGAAUUUACUCAACAACAGUUACUUGUUUAUUUAAAAAGAUGACAGGUUUGAGGAGUAUGUCACAGUCCCUGUGUUAAAACUAACCCACC